rnacentral:misc_RNA from 1 species
UUUCCGUAGGUGAACCUGCGGAAGGAUCAUUAAAGUUAUAGUCCCCCGGCCCUCUGGGCUGGGAUCUUCUAUACCACCCUUUGUUUAUUACACCUUUGUUGCUUUGGCAGGCCUGCCCUCGGGCUGCUGGCUCCGGCCGGCUCGCGUCUGCCAGAGGACCUAAACUCUGUUUGUAUAUGAAGUCUGAGUACUAUAUAAUAGUUAAAACUUUCAACAACGGAUCUCUUGGUUCUG